CCUGUUCGUAUUUAUUCCAAUUCUUGAAGCAGGAGCUCCUUUUCCUUGAAUUUGGGAGUCAUUAUCUUUCUAAAGCUUUAGCAGGAAGAGAAUCGCAGCAGCACUGCUGCUUGCAAGCUCGAAAAUCUCUCUUUCGCCUUUCCUCCCUGUCUCCAUUCCAUUCUGAUUGAUUCGCUUCCCAUAGCAAGAAGCGGUCAGGAUGCAGAGACAGAGAGUCAGGACCCCUGUGCUGUACUCCGCCCCAAUGAGAGACCACCACCUGUAACCUACCUUGGAGAUAGGGUUAGCAGCCAUGUUGACCGGAUAUUCAUCCUUCAUGCGGUCCAAUUUGCAACAAGCAAAGCAGAUUGUUUUACCCAACGGUGGUGACGGUGUCUCUGUUUUUCCUUUUUUCUUUCUGCUUGGGCUUUGAUUUCAUUCGCCCUGGGUUCUUAACUGGGCUGGCUUUGUCCAAUGAUCUCUUGUACUUU
rnacentral:lncRNA from 1 species